rnacentral:ncRNA from 1 species
ACUAUCAUGGGAUGCUGAACCGUUGCCCGUGGUCGGUCACUUGGGUGACGGCGAGCCAACAGUGAGACCGACCUUAAGUAGG